rnacentral:rRNA from 1 species
AUUGAACGCUGGCGGCAGGCCUAACACAUGCAAGUCGAGCGGAUGAAGGGAGCUUGCUCCUGGAUGCAGCGGCGGCCGGGUGAGUCAUGCCCAGGAAUCUGCCUGGUAGUGGGGGAUAACGUCCGGAAACGGGCGCUAAUACCGCAAACGUCGUGAGGGCGAAAGUGGGUGAUCUUGGGACCUCACGCUAUCAGAUGAGGCUAGGAUGGAUUAGCUAGUUGGUGGGGUAAAGGGCUAACAAGGCUGAGAUCCGUAACUGGUAUGAGAGGAUGACCAGUCACACUGGAAGUGAGACACGGUCCAGACUCCGACGGUAGGCAGCGGUGGAGAAUCUUAGACAAUGGACCAGAGCCUGAUCCUGCAAUGCGGCGUGUGUCAUGAAGGUCCUCGGCUUGGUGAGCGCUGUAGGUUGUGGGGAAGUGAAGUAAGUUUAUCCCUGAUUGUUUUGACGUUACCAGCAGAAUAAGCACCGGCUAACUUCGUG